rnacentral:rRNA from 1 species
GCGAUUCGCCCUUCGGGGUGCAGCAGGCGCGAAACCUUAGCAAUGUGCGAAAGCACGACUGGAUCAGUCCGAGUGAUUCCUGAUAAAGGAGUCUUUUGCUUGUCCUAAAAGCACAGGUGAAUAAGGGGUGGGCAAGUCUGGUGUCAGCCGCCGCGGUAAUACCAGCACCUCGAGUGGUCAGGACGUUUGUUGGGCCUAAAGCAUCCGUAGCCGGCUCUGCAAGUCUUCGGUUAAAUCCACCUGCUCAACAGAUGGGCUGCUGGAGAUACUACAGAGCUAGGGAGUGGGAGAGGCAGACGGUAUUCAGUGGGUAGGGGUAAAAUCCUCUGAUCCAUUGAGGACCACCAGUGGCGAAGGCGGUCUGCCAGAACACGUUCGACGGUGAGGGAUGAAAGCUGGGGGAGCAAACCGGAUUAGAUACCCGGGUAGUCCCAGCUGUAAACGAUGCAAACUCGGUGAUGCAUUGGCUUAUGGCCAAUGCAGUGCCGCAGGGAAGCCGUUAAGUUUGCCGCCUGGGAAGUACGGACGCAAGUCUGAAACUUAAAGGAAUUGGCGGGGGAGCAC